rnacentral:rRNA from 1 species
CCUACGGGUGGCAGCAGUGGGGGAUAUUGCACAAUGGGGGAAACCCUGAUGCAGCGACGCCGCGUGGGUGAAGAAGUAUUUCGGUAUGUAAAGCCCUAUCAGCAGGGAAGAAAGAAGACGGUACCUGACUAAGAAGCCCCGGCUAACUACGUGCCAGCAGCCGCGGUAAUACGUAGGGGGCGAGCGUUAUCCGGAUUCACUGGGCGUAAGGCGCUCGUAGGCGGUAUGUCAAGUCAAGGGUGAAAUCCCCGCGCUUAACGUGGGAACUGCCUUUGAAACUGGCAAACUGGAGUGUGUGAGAGGAUAGUGGAAUUCCAGGUGUAGGAGUGAAAUCCGUAGAUAUCUGGAGGAACAUCAGUGGCGAAGGCGACUAUCUGGCACAUAACUGACGCUGAGGAGCGAAAGCGUGGGUAGCAAACAGGAUUAGAUACCCCAGUAGUC